ACGGGGUGCAGCAGGCGCGAAAACUUUACAAUGCGGGAAACCGCGAUAAGGGGACACCGAGUGCCAGCAUUUAUGUUGGCUGUCCACAUGUGUAAACGGCAUGUGUUAGCAAGGGCCGGGCAAGACCGGUGCCAGCCGCCGCGGUAACACCGGCGGCCCGAGUGGUAAUCACUUUUAUUGGGUCUAAAGGGUCCGUAGCCGGCUUGAUCAGUUCUUCGGGAAAUCUGACAGCUCAACUGUUAGGCUUCCGGGGAAUACUGUCAGACUUGGGACCGGGAGAGGUAAGAGGUACUACAGGGGUAGGAGUGAAAUCUUGUAAUCCCUGUGGGACCACCAGUGGCGAAGGCGUCUUACCAGAACGGGUCCGACGGUGAGGGACGAAAGCUGGGGGCACGAACCGGAUUAGAUACCCGGGUAGUCCUAGCUGUAAACGAUGCUCGCUAGGUGUCAGACACGGUGCGACCGUGUUUGGUGCCGCAGGGAAGCCGUUAAGCGAGCCACCUGGAAGUACGUCGCAAGGC
rnacentral:rRNA from 1 species